GUGCACCUUCUCAUGUGUUUACUUGUUUCUGCUUUUAUAGUAUGGCUUGGUCCUGUUGUGAAAAAAGAUCCUGAUAUGUUUGACUAUUCUGUUUUUUUCUUUAUCCAAUGACCUAUUAAUGUGCUUUGAGCAUAUGACAAUUGUUUCCUCACUAUCUUAGAUUAGUAGUAAUCCUUCUUUUAUGUUUCUGCAAUUUCAGUUCCUGCCUUUUGAAAUUUCCUUUGCAUUCUGUAUCUGCACAUCCCCUCUUGUGGUCUGUUGUAAUGGUCUACUGAACAGCCAUAUCAUGCUAUGAUUGCAUCGUUGCAUGACAAUGUACCAUAUGCUCAUGCAUUUCUUUUCUUACCAAUGUUGUCCUGAUGAGUUGGCUGGCUUACAUGUGCGCCCUCCGUCCUAAAAUAAGUGUCUCAACUCUGUUACAAAGUUGUACUAGAGUUGAGACACUUAUUUUGGGGCUAAGGGAGUAGUCUGCUGUGAAGGUCUACUUGUUUUAGGUAGCAUUGCUUUCUGGAAUACGUCAUUGGAACCUGGUAACAUUCACUGGUUAUAGUCAGCAAGACAGGAAGAACAUACUUGUGUAUGAGUUCAUGCACAACGAAAGGACUAACUUAGCUGAUGGUAAAUUUUCUCUGUGGAAUCAACAACACGCUCCUGUAUAUACACAUACGAUUCUUUCGCAGCAAAACUUUGUCCAUGCAGUUGUAUUUCAGAUCUUUA
rnacentral:lncRNA from 1 species